rnacentral:lncRNA from 13 species
AUGUGUCAGAUUGUGUGGGAUAGCACUAGUUGGUCCCUGGAGACUGCUGUCUGGUUGGAGAGUCACCUGCUCCCCUCCAUGGAGACAGACCAGCAUGAUCAACAGUCGGCUGGAGGGAGUUGGUGGUUACGGUUACAGAAGUCAUCAAAAGAGAGCGCCUGGGGAAUAGGAGUGGAGCUAGGCACUGCAGGUCCUGGAUUAACCUCUACAUCACCAGAGGAACAGAGGAGGAGUUGGUGGUUGACCCAUCAGAGGAGUUGUAUUUAUGGAUGGCUACAUCUUCCCAUCUUCUACGUCUGGGUUCUCUUCAUCUGCAUAUGCUUACAUCAAAUGUAGCCUAUGGCUGGCCGGUUAUCCAUUUCAAGGGGUUCGCUUCGUGUCAAUGUACUGUUUCUCUGUUUCUCUGUUCUUCUUCUGUUGUUUAUUUUUUUGUGUUUUUCCUCUUUGUGUAAAAUAUGUUGAGACCUUGUACACGUGAAAUAAAUUGUGAUUUGAUUGGAAAGAUAAUAAAGAGAAGAAUAAAUAGACCACCUCAUAGACCAUUUUAUUUUUUAAACCAAUUGAAAUGUUAAUUUUGUGGAUAUUUUCUAUGUUAUUUAACAUUAUUUUAAUGAGACAUGAUUACCUGCAAUAGAUGAAUCGUACGUGGCACUGUGGCUUACACUCGGCUACUUCUCUGACCAAUUAUUUCACAGAUAAUUGUAUGUUUGGGGUACAGAGAUGAGAUCAUCCUUCACAAAUCAUGUUAAACACUUUUAUUGCAUCCCGAGUGAGUCCAUGCAACUUAUUAUGUGACUUGUUAAGCACAUUUUUACUCCUGAUGUUAUUUAGGCUUGACAUAACAAAAGGCUUGAAUACAUAUUCACUCAAAACAUUUUCAGCUUUACAUUUUUUAAUAAUUUGUAAAAAAAAAAAAAAAUUCUAAAAACAAAAUUCCACUUCCAAAUUGUGGGGUAUUGUGUGUCGAUCAGUGACACGGGCUUUAACACAAGAACACGUGGAACAAGUCAAGG